rnacentral:miRNA from 1 species
GCCAAAAAGUUCAUUCGGAAUUUUCUGUAAGAUAUGGGGAAAACGAACGAAGUUUUUGGC